rnacentral:rRNA from 1 species
UACGUAGGGGGCAAGCGUUGUCCGGAUUUAUUGGGCGUAAAGAGCGUGUAGGCGGUUAGGUAGGUCCGUUGUGAAAACUCGAGGCUCAACCUCGAGACGCCGAUGGAAACCAUCUGACUAGAGUCCGGAAGAGGAGAGUGGAAUUCCUGGUGUAGCGGUGAAAUGCGUAGAGAUCAGGAAGAACAUCGGUGGCGAAGGCGCUCUGCUGGACCAUAACUGACACUCAGGGACGAAAGCUAGGGGAGCGAAUGGG